rnacentral:rRNA from 1 species
AGUGAACGCUGGCGGCGUGCUUAACACAUGCAAGUCGAACGAGAACGGAAUAUAGCUUGCUAUAUUUGUCAGCUAAGUGGCGCACGGGUGAGUAAUGUAUAGAUAACCUGCCCUUAAGAAAGGAAUAACAGUUGGGAUCGACUGCUAAUGCCCUAUAUGCCUUUAAUACAUAAGUAUGCAAGGGAAACGCUUUAGUGCUUAAGGAUGGGUCUGUAUGGUAUCAGCUUGUUGGUGAGGUAAUGGCUCACCAAGGCUAUGACGCCUGACUGGUUUGAGAGGAUGAUCAGUCACACUGGAACUGAGACACGGUCCAGACUCCUACGGGAGGCAGCAGUGGGGAAUAUUGCACAAUGGACGAAAGUCUGAUGCAGCAACGCCGCGUGGAGGAUGACACAUUUCGGUGCGUAAACUCCUUUUAUAUAGGAAGAUAAUGACGGUACUAUAUGAAUAAGCACCGGCUAACUCCGUGCCAGCAGCCGCCGUAA